ensembl:lncRNA LINC03026 long intergenic non-protein coding RNA 3026
ACCGCAGGCGGCGACCGCGGACAGAAUGUACAGUGUUGGAGGUGGAGCCUGAUGAAGGGUGACUGAGUCAUGUGGGUGGCAUUCUCAUGAAUGGGUUAGCACCAUCCUCUUGGUGCUGUUCUCAUGCCAUGUAAGACAUGCCUGUGCCUGCUUCCCCUUUGCCUUCUGCCAUGACUGAAAGUUUCCUAAGGCCUCCUCAGAAGCCGAGCAGAUGCCAGCAUCAUGCUUCCUCUAAAGCCUGUGGAACCAUGAGCCAAGAUUUACAGUACUAUGUUGAAUAGAAGUGGUGAGAGAGGGCAUUCUUGUCUUGUUCCAGUUCUCCAGAGGAAUGCUUUCGACUUUCCCCCAUUCAGUAUGAUGUUGCAUAUGGGUUUGUCAUAUAUGGCUUUUACUACUUUCAGGAUUUUUCAUGGGCCGAUCUGCUGAAUUCAGCCUAGGAGCUGAGACCAACAUCUGAGUCUCUUCAGCACACAAGUUUGAAAGAAGUCCUAGCAACUUCAAGCUCAGAACUACGGGUGGCAGCAGCUCCCUCUUGACGUCGAAGCCUCCCAUUCCAGAGAGAGUCAAGGCCUGGAUCAAACAAAGCCCACAAGCACCGAUGACUGAGCUGCUGACUACCCCCAGCAUCUCCAACUCAACCUCCUCUUUCUGCCUCUACCCAAAUUUUAAAACUUUCAAACAUGGGUUUAAAAAUGGUAAUGAGUAAAGUUGCAUCCAAGUGUAUCAAAUAAAACUAAAUAUCCAUAAA